rnacentral:rRNA from 1 species
UGGGGAAUCUUGCACAAUGGGGGCAACCCUGAUGCAGCGACGCCGCGUGAGCGAUGAAGCCCUUCGGGGCGUAAAGCUCUUUCGACCGGAACGAUAAUGACGGUACCGGGAGAAGAAGCUGCGGCUAACUACGUGCCAGCAGCCGCGGUAAUACGUAGGCAGCAAGCGUUGUUCGGAGUUACUGGGCGUAAAGAGUGCGUAGGCGGUUUUCUAAGUUCGGUGUGAAAUCUCCCGGCUUAACUGGGAGGGUGCGCCGAAGACUGGGAAGCUGGAGUGUGGGAAAGGCAGGCGGAAUUCCUGGUGUAGCGGUGAAAUGCGUAGAUAUUAGGAAGAACACCAGUGGCGAAGGCGCCUUACUGGCUCGGUACUGACGCUGAGGUACGAAAGCGUGGGGAGCAAACA